rnacentral:rRNA from 1 species
CGCCUCCUGUAAAAUAAACAUAAGAGGUACUGCCUGCCCAGUGACACCUGUUUAACGGCUGCGGUAUAAUGACCGUGCAAAGGUAGCAUAAUCACUUGUCUCUUAAAUGGGGACCCGUAUGAAUGGCAAAACGAAAGCCCAACUGUCUCCUCAAACUAAUCAGUGAAAUUGAUAUUUCCGUGCAAAAGCAGAGAUAAUUAUAUAAGACGAGAAGACCCUACGGAGCUUAAAACCUAAAUUAAUAUAUUGAAUAAGAUAGUCUAAAGUUUUAGGUUGGGGCGACCACGGAGAACAAUAAAUCCUCCGAGAUAUAUGAUCUAGAAGAACACUUCAAGAUAACACUACAAUUGAUAUAAUUGACCCAAUAAUUGAUCAACGAACCAAGUUACCCUAGGGAUAACAGCGCAAUCCUCUCAUAGAGUUCCUAUCGACGAGCGGGUUUACGACCUCGAUGUUGGAUUAGGAAAACCAAAUGGCGCAGCAGCUAUUAAAGGUUCGUUUGUUCAACGAUUAAAGUCCU